ACCAAAUAUUUACAAGUUCCUCUAAUCCUUCAGUGAAGUGAAGUGGGGGAAAUUAUAUAACGGGUUUAAAUCGCAGUUUUGUUUUUGCUAAUCUCGGAUUUAGAAACUCCCUUUUAAAACACCUUUUGGGAUCCUUUACAAACAAGUCUGUUUCGCUUAAAGACGGAGUAAACGAAAGUAUCCAUUUCCCAGCUCUGGAGCAGGAAGGACAAUGGCCAAGUAAGAUGAUGUGCACAAAGAGAUAGAAGACGAAACACAAAACGAUAUUGCAGUGUUAAUAUACUGUACGUAACUCUCCAGCCCUGGAUUUUGAAGUGUUUUGCACUCAUUUGCAUUAUCCUCCUCUAACUCCUAUCAACCAUGAGCAUGACCUGAUAACGUUGCUGCACAAGUCAAAUGGGUGGAAAUGGAUGACACAAAUCAAGAAAACAACAUUAUGACCGGAUUCUAUUGUUCUACGGUUUCGCACACUUCCCUGCUACUAGAUUUAAAGGCAAGCCUUUUACUUGUACCUCAGAGUUCCACACAUGUGGAGUCUCCGUGAUAUCUUGCUAAAAUAAAA